ACUAUUCAGGAUUUCCAAGUAAUGAAGAAUCAAACUAGGAUUUUAAUAGAGCCUUUUGAGUAAUUACGAAGUGCCCGGAACACUUGGUUUGCAUUAGCUCAUAGAAGAACUCAAGCAAAAUAAAAGCAAAAAUCAGGAAAAGGAAGAUGACAAGGAGAGAAAUGGACUAUAAGCAGCAUAUCAAAUGUAGAUUUCCACAACGUUGAGAUGCUCAGAUCUGUCCUUUGUCUUCUACAGAAGGACAAUAAAAAUAAUAAAAAUAUGAUUACCAGAUGUGACUUAUUUUCCUUUUACUGUACAGCUUGGUAGAGAAAAUAAAUAUAAUCAAAUAAGAAAAUAAAUAAAUAAGAUUAUAUAGUGAAGGAUUUUGUGUUUUGUUUUGUUUCUUAAGCUCAACUUGGACUUUUGAACACCUUAGAAUGAAUUUAUAAGAAGUUCCUGUCCAGGGAUAAGGAAGGAAAGUUCAGCACAGAAUGUAAACAGCCUAUUAAGGAAGAAAAAUACAAUUAUUUCAUAAUUUCACACCUCUAAACCCAGUUCAUUCAAUCAACAAGCACAUAAAAUUUUAAGCUGUGUUCCAAAACAUUUUUAUGAAUUUACAUUAUCAGCAUUGAAGGAAAAUCAGUACCAUAAUGCUCUUGCUAGCUUUAACAAUUUUCAUUUGAUGUUUAUUAUAAUUUAAUAUGUGCAAUGCGACCUCAAUUAAGUGAUUUUUAUUAGCAUAGUUAACUAUUUUUCAUUUGUAUUUCUAUCAUUUGUAUUUGUUCACUUACAAAUUAGCUGUCACAUUGACCAGCAUAUCUAACAUAUAUAAUUAGUUAAUUAUUUUCUUAUAAAUUUGCAUGCAACAUUAAGAGAA